GAGUCUCCAGAGGAGAAAAGCGAGGCUCAGAGAGGAAAAAUUGGCAGGGAGGGGAACCCAGGUCUUCUGGCCCAUCCUCUUAGGACACCAUCUCCUAGGCCUCAUAUUUCUGAAGUUCUCACAGUGCUGCGGUGUUUAGCGCUCUGAUCUAUUGGCAAGCGGACUGGUAGACUUGGCAGCCCUUUUCCCCCUCUGACUCCAGGGAGAGUACCUGCAUGCCUUCUGGGGGCUUCCCCCAGCUCAGGUGUGAAGUGUGAUUGUGUGUGUGUGCAUGUGUGUGUAUGAGACAGAGAAAGGGGAUGUGUGUGCACAAGGUGCAUGUCAGCAGCACUCACAGGCUUCCUGCCAGCUCUGGAAGGGACAUUUUUUGCCCC
rnacentral:lncRNA from 10 species